CCUACGGGAGGCAGCAGUGGGGAAUAUUGCACAAUGGGGGAAACCCUGAUGCAGCGACGCCGCGUGAGUGAAGAAGUAAUUCGUUAUGUAAAGCUCUAUCAGCAGGGAAGAAAAUGACGGUACCUGAGUAAGAAGCCCCGGCUAACUACGUGCCAGCAGCAGCGGUAAUACGUAGGGGGCAAGCGUUAUCCGGAUUUACUGGGGGUAAAGUGAGCGUAGACGGCAGUGCAAGUCUGGAGUGAAAGGCGGGGGCUCAACCCCCGGACUGCUCUGGAAACUGUACGGCGGGAGUGCAGGAGAGGUAAGUGGAAUUCCUGGUGUAGCGGUGAAAUGCGUAGAUAUUAGGAGGAACACCAGUGGCGAAGGCGGCUUACUGGACUGUAACUGACGUUGAGGCACGAAAGCGUGGGGAGCAAACAGGAUUAGAUACCCUGGUAGUC
rnacentral:rRNA from 1 species